rnacentral:rRNA from 1 species
AUUGAACGCUGGCGGCAGGCCUAACACAUGCAAGUCGAACGAGUGGCGGACGGGUGAGUAAUGUCUGGGAAACUGCCUGAUGGAGGGGGAUAACUACUGGAAGCGGUAUCUAAUACCGCAUACCCACAGAUGUGCCCAGAGGGGAUUAGCUAGUAGGUGGGGAAAGGGCUCACCUAGGCGACGAUCCCUGGCUGGUCUGAGAGGAGGACCAGCCACACUGGAACUGAGACACGGUCCAGACUCCUACGGGAGGCAGCAGGGGGGAAUAUUGCACAAGGGGCGCAAGCCUGAUGCAGCCAUGCCGCGUGUGUGAAGAAGGCCUUCGGGUUGUAAAGCACUUUCAGCGAGGAGGCGUUACUCGCAGAAGAAGCACCGGCUAACUCCGUGCCAGCAGCCGCGGUAAUUC